rnacentral:misc_RNA from 1 species
GCUUGCUAAUGAAACCUUUUGGAUGAACUGAGCUGAAACAAGAUUUGCAUUAUCAGAUGAAAUCUUAUUCUAUCUCUGUGGUGUCUGUGCCACUCAAUUUUCUUUCUAUUUUCUUUUUCCCUUUGGUUGAACCAUCUUCUUCUUCUUCUUCUUCUUCUUCAUCCCUCUCUCUCUCUUUUUUUUCCCCCCAUUGAUGGGCGUGACUUUGAUGUUUGUUGUAUAGACCUUGGACCUUAUUGUUGUGGAUCAUUCAUAACUUCUACAACCUCCAAGGUGGUUUAUAGCUUAAAUUUUAGGCCAAGUGCAACGCUUAAGAGCAGAUUUUAAGUCAAUGAGCAACUCGUUGCAAGGCUUACUGUUUAAUAGUUUAUAAUUUUGUGGCUCAUGUAG